AGAGUUUGAUCCUGGCUCAGGAUGAACGCUAGCGGUAGGCCUAAUACAUGCAAGUCGCGCGAACACUUCGGUGUUAGCGGCGGACGGGUGCGUAACGCGUAUCUAACCUACCCUCUAGAGGGGGACAACAGCUGGAAACGGCUGCUAAUACCCCAUAACACAGCGGGUGCACAUGCACACAGUUGUUAAAGACUUCGGUCGCUGGAGGAUGGAGAUGCGUCUGAUUAGUUAGUUGGUGAGGUAACGGCUCACCAAGACGACGAUCAGUAGCUGGUCUGAGAGGAUGAUCAGCCACACUGGGACUGAGACACGGCCCAGACUCCUACGGGAGGCAGCAGUAGGGAAUAUUGGGCAAUGAGCGAAAGCUUGACCCAGCCAUACCGCGUGGGGGAAGACGGUCCACAGGAUUGUAAACCCCUUUUAUAUAGGAAUAAGGACCUAUUAGUUAGGUUUUGCAGGUACUAUACGAAUAAGCACCGGCAAACUACGUGCCAGCAGCCGCGGUAAUACGUAGGGUGCAAGCGUUGUCCGGAUUUACUGGGUUUAAAGGAUCCGUAGGCGGGAGAAUUAGUCGGCGAUGAAAUCAGGUGGCUCAACCAUCUGGCUGUUGCCGAAACUGUUCUUCUUGAAUUAGAUUGAGGUGGCUGGAAUAGGCAGUGUA
rnacentral:rRNA from 1 species